rfam:Oryza barthii chromosome 3, whole genome shotgun sequence.
UUUAACCAUGAGCUUUUGUUUUCGUGUCCAACUUUAAUCGUCCGUCUUAUAUAAUUUUUUUACGGUUUGUAUUUUUAUUGUUAUUAGAUGAUAAAAUAUGAAUAUUACUUUACACAUGACUUUUUUUUAACUUUUAAAAAAUCAAGAUGAUUAAAGUUUGACAUGAAAACUGAUGACCACACUUAAA